rnacentral:rRNA from 1 species
AUUGAACGCUGGCGGCAGGCCUAAUACAUGCAAGUCGAACGCAGUGGGGACGGGUGAGUAACACGUGGGUAACCUCCCAUCAGAGGGGAUAACACUUGGAAACAGGUGCUAAACCGAUACUGAUGGAUGGACCCGCGGUGCAUUAGCUAGUUGGUGAGGUAACGGCUCACAAAGGCCAAGAUGCCUAGUCGACCGGCGAGGGUGAUCGGCCACACUGGUACGUGGACACGGCCCAGACUCCUACGGGAGGCAGCAGUAGGGAAUCUUCGGCAAUGGACGAAAGUCUGACCGAGCAACGCCGCGUGAGUGAAGAAGGUUUUCGGAUCGUAAAACUCUGUUGUUAGAGAAGCGGUAUCUAACCAGAAAGCCACGGCUAACUACGUGCCAGCACCGCGGUAAUA